rnacentral:lncRNA from 10 species
UUUGUAUAUGUUGAGAGAUAGGGGGUCCAGUUUCACUCUUCUGCAUGUGGCUAUCCAAUUUUCUCAGCACCAUUAAUUUAAGAGGGUGACCUUUCCCAGUGUAAGUUCUUGUCAGCUUUUUCAAAGAUCAGUUGGCUAUAAAUAUGUUGCUUUAUUUCUGUGUUCUCUAUUCUAUUCCAUUUGUCAAUGUGGCUACCCACUAGAUUUUAGUGUGUUCUAAAUUAAACCCCUUUCUCCUCCCAUAAAACUGAUACCUCCUUGGUGAUAAAUCAAGAUGGUUAUUUGCAGUGGGGAGCCCUCAGUGCUAAUCCAGGGACCUGGCAAUGGUGUGGAACCCAGUGUGAUUUAUCCCAACUACCUUCCUGCUGCUCCUAGGUAUUUAUUUGAGACAUUGCUCUCAACAGUGACUGGAGUCAACUCAUGUAUAUGUAUAUACUACCUACUGGUGUAACAGUCACAUAUGCAGUUGUGGGAUGCUACAUAAAUGGUGACUGAGCUAGUGAGAGAUUGUAUCAGUCAGGGUAGGCUAAAUUAUGCUGCUGUAACAAAUGCCAUCAAAAUAUCAGUGGCUUAAUACAACAAAAGUAAAUUUCCUUCUCAUGCAAAAUUUCCAGUGCUGCUAUCACAGUGACUCAUUGUUCUAGCCACCUUCAUUCCUGUGACAUUUCCAUGAGCACCAUGGCAGAGGAAGGAUGUGGAGAACUGCACACCAAACCUCAAGUGCUUUCAUCCAGAAGUGAUACAGGUCACUUCUCACAUUUCUCUUGUCAAGGAAAGUCACAUGGUCAUUGCCUAACUUUAAGGGCUAUGUUUAUGUUUCUAGGAAUCACCAAGAUUCUAGAUCGUACUUUCUAGGAAUCUUGGUGAUUCUGAGUAAUGCCUGCCACAGGGAUCCAUUUCGCAUAGGAGGGUUAGGGAUAAAGCUAGACUGAAAAUAGUCUAGCUAUAGUAGAGGAUAAGCAACAGGUUACCAGUUCAAGGAAGGUACUCUGUUACAUGUAGAGUCUUUGGGAAACAUUAAUGUUGUUGUUAUCAUUAUACAAUAUUAUGUAGAAAAACACUUAAAGGUGACAAAUUCUCUCUCUCUGCCUGCCAGGGUUAUCUUAUGAUUUAGCCAAGGUUAGUCUACUCCAGGUUAGAGUGCAGUUUGAUCAUCCAAACUCUUCUGUGACACAGCAUUCAGGAAAGAUCAUCUGUAUGAUACCCUAGGGAACACACCAACCAUUAGGAAGAUGACUUCAGCCACAGGAUGAAACAGAUGACGAGAGACUGGAGUCUAGAAGAUCAGCCAGAGGGCAAGUAUCGUGAUCCAGAUGAAAACCGAUGAGGACCUGGCCUAAAACAGUGAUAAUGAUGAUAGAGAGGAGAGAUCACCAAACAUGUGAUCUUCAGUAAGAGAGAGAGUGAGAGAGAGAGUGUGUGUGUGUAUGUGUGUGUGUGUGAGAGAGAGAGAGAAUGUGUGUGUAUGUGUGUGUGUGUGUGAGAGAGAGAGAGAGAGAGAGAGAGGUUAUUUCCAGGUUUGUAGCUAGCCAGUCUAAGUGGAUGGUAGAACUGUUAGUAGAGAUGAUGAAAUGGGAUAUCAAGCAUGAUACUGAGUUCACUUUCGGACAUGUCAAGUCAGAGGUCCCUAAGGGAUUCUGGAAAGAUGUCUAAUGGGUGGUUUAAAUAAAAAUCUUAAGCUCAGGAGAGCUUAAAGACACAGAUUUUGCAGUAGCUUUUAUUUCUCAAUCUGUAGCCCUUUCUACAACAGCUGAUCUUAAAAAAUAGCCCUUCCUUUAAAGACAAAUUAAUGUAACAGCUUAACAUUUAUAAUUAUUUAUAAUGAAAAUGAUUAAGAAUCAACUACUGCAUUGUAUAAUGGUAAUGGCAAUACAUCAUUACCAAACAGACAAUGUUAGAAUUUUAAGUGGACAUUUAGGCUAGUUUUGCACUCUAAUGACCUCUUUAAAAGUAUGUAAUUCUUUUCUGGUUUUCCAUGUUCACUAUUUUGUUAUUCCUCAAGGGUUCUCCAGACUGCAGUGUAUUGUAAGAUAGUCUCUCUUUCUUGCAUCACCUAAAACCUUGUGCAAAUGGGUCAUUUAUUUUCUUUCAUUGUGCUAUAGAAAUAAUGAUUUUUCUGAUCUUGCCUUUCCUUCUUUUUUUUGAGACAGAGUCUCACUCUGUCACCCAGGCUGGAGUACAGUGGCACAAUGUUGACUUACUGCAACCUCCACCUCCCGGGUUCAAAUGAUUCUUCUGCCUCAACCUCCCGAGUAGACAGGAUUACAGGCAUGCACCACCACACUCAGCUUAUUUUUCUAUUUUUAGUAGAGAUGCGGUUUCCCUAUGUUGGCCAGGCUGGUUUCGAACUCCUGACCUCAAGUGAUCCACGUGCCUCGGCCUCCCAAACUGCUGGGAUUACAGGCAUGAGCCACUGCACCUGACCCUGCCUUUCCUUCUUACGGAACCAUGAGCAUUGUAAAACCAUAGCACGAUUCCUCUUUAACUCUCCAUCCUCUCCAUAUUGUUUAUUGAACAACCUGUCAAAGAAUGUUCUUGUUGAGUUAUGACAAUGCCUUUCAAGCCAUGCCAUUUCUACAAAUUUCUUACUGUCAUAUUGUGAUGUAAUAAGAAAUAUAUAUUUGGUCUGUGCCUUGGUUCCUGGCACAGAAUUCCUCAAACCCUUUUAAUUUCCUGAGUGAUAGUGGUGUUAGGUGCAUCUUUUGUGCUGAUGUUUGGUCUUGGGCCCUGGCUCCUGACACAGAGGUCCUAAUCCCUUGGAGUUUCCUGGGAGAUAGGAACAUUUUUUGUUCUAACGAGGCAACUUUCUGUGGGCUCCUAGACGGAAGCUGGUCACCAGAAAGACCAAGCUAUGAUUAGAAGAUUGGAACUUUCAGUUCUUCCCUCAUGCUCCAGGAAGGAGAAAGGGCCUGGAGAUUGAGGUAAUAAUUGGUCAUGCCUAUAUGAUGAAGCCUCCACAAAAAUCCCUGAACUGCAUGGUUCAGAGAACUCUGGGCUGCUGAACACGUGGAGGUGCUGGGAGGAUAGCUUGCUCAGAGAGGGCAUGGCAGCUCUGCGCCCCUCCCACGUACCUUGCCCUGUGCAUCACUGCCAUCUUGCUGUCCAUCUGUAUCCUUUCUAAUAUACUUUGUAAUAAACUGGUAAAUGGAAGUAAUCUGCUUUCUUGAGUUCUAUGAACCAUUUUAGCAAAUUAAUCAAACUCAAGGAGGGGGUUGUGGGAACUUCCAAUUUAUAGAUGGUUGUUCAGAA